CCCGAGGAAUAAUCCAUCUUCCAGCAUUUCGGAAGCGCCCAUUAAGUUCUGGGCUCUUGGGACAGGAGCGUUCUCCUGGGGAGAUCCCCAAGCCUGGGACUGAGCUCAGGAGACGCCCGGCCCGACCCUCUCCUUUUAGGAGAGACCGCUGAGGCCGGAGGAGAGAUGCAGGCUACGGGGCUGGGAACCGGAGCCAUGCUCUCUCAUCCUUGGUACCGUGCCCCCUCGCAGGACCACAGUCUGGACUCCCAACACUCAUCUCUGGCCCAUAGGGGCACAGCGCUCUUGGUGAAGAACUCCCAGGAAGCCGAGCCCUAGAACAGGAGAGACUUCUCCAGCACCGCACAGGGCCAGCAGCCCCGAGAGCACGGGGCUUCUCCGGAUCAUGCCAGGCUUCUUUGAAAAACAGAAAGUGCUCCCUGAGAACAAUGAUGGGCACAAGCUUGGAGAGCUGGGCACAGUUGGCAUGGGAUGCUGGCCAGACCCAUUAUUCUUUCUCAAGAUGUCAGGGAGAUCAUCGAUUAUGAGUAAGGAUCUCCAAGAAGAGGGAGGUGAGAGGCUUUGGGCCCAGGCAGCUUCCUGUCCGAGUCUCUGGCCCCCCUGGCCUCCUCCUGGGCCUCCUUGCCCUCUCCCCUGCAGCUGCCCAAGCAUGAUCUCCCAUGGAGUCUCCAGUGGCCCCGGGGCCUCCAGUGUCCACCUGACUGAGGCUCUUCAUGACUCGGCCCUUCCACCCUGCCCAGUCUUCUUCCACCUGAGCCCCCUUCCUCAAGAACCGGUUGCCUUGCUGCUCCUCACACACAGAGGACCCUGUGCCCCGGCACCAGCCGCCGGCUUUUCCGCCUCCAUGCCCCCCUCAGACUGUUGGACUCUAAGCGCUCGGGCCACGCUGAGCCCUGUGGGUACAAAGAGGCAGACAAGAAGAGCUGCCCUGGAGAGGCGUGCCCUGCCACGGAGGAGCUGACAAAUGCGCCACUACGGGCAGAGCAGUCGGAUGGAAGAGGACUGGGCAGUGGUGGGUGGGAGACUCUCGGGCAGGAGAGCAAGGAAGGAAGUUGGGGACAUGGGGGAAGGGGUUGAGUGAGGGGGGCAGGGCGGCUAGGCCUGGGGGACGGCUGGGGCAAAGGCGUGGAGGGGGAUGGUGGUGGGGGCAGGGAGAGUGGGCAGCCCCACCAUCAGCUGGGCUCCCUCCCCAGAAGUCGAGCUCUCUGGGUGCUGAGGCUGUCUCCCUGGGGCCUGGCACCUGACACAUGCUUGCUGACUAACAGAUGCAUUUCUCUGUCCCAAAAUAUGGAAUAUUGUCUCCUUUUUGAUCAUGAACCGAUCUUAAGCCCAGGCCUUCCCCAGCUUCCCUGACAAUAGCUUCAAAGGUUCCUGGUCUGAGCCCCCGGGACUGCCCAGGUGUCGGGGACCUCUUUUUAGGAGGGUUUAGGAAGGUAAGGAUGGGUUUAUCCCAUCAAAUCAACGGGCAGGUGCCACACAUGGGCACGAUGAGUGGAGAGCCACACGGGGCAGCAGGAAGGCCUGAGCUACAUCCUCCCUGACUCAUGGCUCGGUUCUCAGCCUGAGCACUGCCCCGGCAUCCUCUGCCCAUAGGGCCUCAUCCUGGCACCCUGAGGAGGCCCAGUCCAGCUCAAUACCCCAAACGUUGAGGAGCCAUGGCUGAGGGAGGAACCAUUUUUCCUCCAGGGGCCUAGAAAAAUCUUUACCGGAGCCCAAAUUUCAGGCUAUUCAGAUCCCAAGGGAUAGCUCAUCUCACUGGGCCCCCAAGUCUGUCCCCUUGGAGGUCCCCAGGCCGGGACGCCCUCCAUCUGUCUGCGGCUGGCAGAGCUCCCAGCUGGGCCCCAUGCGCUACAACCCCGCUGCACUGAGCCUUCCUCCUGGGCUACCCAGAGAGCAGAGAACGGGAAACUUGGUCCUUCUGACCAGGUGGCUCUGGCCGAGCCGAGGCACCAACUUCCCACCAGACCGGGGCCUUCAUCCUCUUCCCUGCCCGAGGUUGGCUCCCUCUGCCCAAUGCCCGAGAAGGAGUCGAGGUACUCAGGGCACCGGGGAGCAGCAUGGAAGAUGCUCCAGAAAGAUGCAGGGCAAGUCUCCAGAGCGUGUGCUGCAUUCUUGGAGAGUCCCAAGGGAGGAGGACUCCACUGAAAUGGAAGGGAGGUGGGGGGGAGGCCUUUGGGUCUUAACAUGUUGCCGGUUAUUGGCCCCAAGGUGGCCCGGCUUCUGGGUUAGGCAGAAUGGCUUCCAUUUUCAUCCACCCGAGGGCCAAUUCCACAGCAGCCUGGCCCUAGUCUCUGAGGGAGACGCUCUGCUCUUUUAGGGAGCUACUAGGGGAUGUAGGAUAAUGUACAAAAAAAAUCCUCCAUUACCAAUUAAAACUUAAUGAAAACCA